GACGAACGCUGGCGGCGUGCUUAACACAUGCAAGUCGAACGGAAAGGCCCUGCUUUUGUUCGGUUCUCGAUUGGCGAACGGGUGAGUAACACGUGAGUAACCUGCCCUUGACUUUGGGAUAACUUCACGAAACUGGGGCUAAUACCGCAUAUGAUCUCCUGCUGCAUGUUGUGGGUUGGAAAGUUUCGGCGGUUGUGGAUGGACUCGCGGCUUAUCAGCUUGUUGGUGGGGUAGUGGCUUACCAAGGCUUCGACGGGUAGCCGGCCUGGGAGGGUGACCGGGGACAUUGGGACUGAGGGACGGACCAGAAGCGAACGGGAGGCAGCAGUGGGGAAUAUUGCGGAAUGGGGGGGAGCCAGAUGCAGAAGCGCCGGGUGCGGGAUGACGGGCUACGGGUUGUAAACAGCUGUCGAAGGUGACGAAGAGUGAGUGACGGUAAUGGGUAAAGAAGCACCGGCUAACUACGUG
rnacentral:rRNA from 1 species